rnacentral:lncRNA from 1 species
AGUCCAAAACUGCAAUGAUUUCAAUGUUUUCUACCUUUCCACAAUUCCGGUCUGUCCAGGACGCUAUUGUACUGGUAACUAUGAUAGGUAUUUUUCUGGGGUUUUUUGGCCCUUGUUUCUCACAUUUUUUCAAAUUAUUUGGCUGAAUAUGUAGUACAUAUUUCAGAUUAAACACAUUAUCGUGAGUUUUAUUGUUAUUGACGUAUUUUUGUAUUCAAAGCUUGUAUUCUUUUAAUGUGACUGUUGCUGUUAACAAAUAGCAUAUUUAGAUAUUACAGGUUACUUUUGGUUAUUAACAGGACACAAAUACCCCUCCACUUAUAUUCAGAAAGGGGCCAAUUCGUUGCAAUAAUUGCGAAGAGUAAAAAUACUUCUAGACAAUUUGAAUGGCAAAUGUGCAUGUAUUAUGUAUUUAUUUUGCAAUCAGGGCUUUAAGUAAACUAUGAAUAAUGUAUAAACUGUGAAUUUAUGGAAAUAAUUUUUACAAAGAACAUUUUGGCAUUCACCUAAACAGUUAUCCUAACCUUUAAACAGACUUGAUUAGAAAUGGUAUAGUUACUUAUAAGGUUAUUAAAGAUGGUUUUAUUUUGGUUUACAUAUUAUUUCACGCAUAGGUUUCUUGCAUCGGAAAUACACACAUUUCUUUUAGAACCAGUUGUUGGCAUGAUACGGGUUGAGUUUUUCUCAUAUAUCUUUCAAAGACUGGAUUAUACUAAACCCCUGACGAUAGAAUAUGCUUGAUUUUCGUAUUAAGGAGACAUACUCUCUCAAUCAGUUUAAUUGAGGUUCUGAAGCUGUCACGUCAGUAACUGCUAUUAGUCCUUUGUUAAUUUAUGUUUCAUUGUCAUGUUGCUUAGUUUCUUCUGUUACAUUUUUAUUGGACUCUGACUUCUUUUCAAUUGAGUUUAACUGAUGUAUGUUUUUUUUUGUAUCAAUACACCAUUCACACCUUGCGUUCUAAUCAUGUUCACAUAUACAAAAGGUGGUACUGCGACACAAGUUCAAACAUCUCAAUCUUUCGUAUCUACAAAUCGAUUCCGUCCUCUUAUCUUUAAAAAUGACAUCACCGAAAGAAUUUCAUCACACAAUUUGUACUUAAUGUUAGCAGCGAGCGUUCUCUGCAUGGAUUGUCAAAGGUUUCUGUAUUAUUGUAGACCUUUGAUGAUUUAAAAAUGUAUUGUGUGUGAUUUGAUUUGGUCUUGCUAUUUGGUUCGUCUGGCUUACAAGCAGGGUAUGCACGUAUUGUUAAAAGGGAUAGUAACGUGAUUAGUGAAGUGAGAGUUUUUUUAUUCUCCGUGUUGAAGCGCAAAUUUGACUCUAAGAUGAAUAACAACAAUACAAUCGCUGUGACGUUGUUUUAUAUGUGUGGUUUUUUUUUGCUAUGCAUGUACUGAUUUUGUGUCAUGGAUCGAUAUCCUAUAUCCUUUGUUUGUAUACUAUAUGAUCACAUUCAAUGAUAACAUUUGGUAGGUUACCGUAAAACAUUUUCAGAAACCAUGUUCGGACAGACACUUUUAUUGUGGUCUUUUGAUUUUUGUAUUAACAUUGUGUCAUAGAUCAAAUCUAUUUUGUCAGUGUAUGAACGCUUUCGUUAAUAUGUCGUAUGGUUGAGCUCAGCCAUUUCAUUUGUUUUUUUUUAUAGUGGGUCUUUCUUCGUUACACUACUGUUUCGUUUAAUGAUGAAGGUUGGCAUCUAUCAAAACUGCCAAGCCCGUUGCACUUGUUUGCACCUAUUCUUAUGGAAUUAAGUAAAUCGGUUUUAAUACACGAAAGUUUAGAGUUUUCUGCUCGUGACAUUCCGAGAGUCAACUGAAUUGAACAAAAUAGCCAUUACAGAUCGACAAAUACAGAGUUGAAUGUUCUAAUUGUGUGGAAAUUUAAUCGAGUAUCAAAAUGUACAAUUGACUAGUUUGUGCUUAGUUAUUUUUGACCGAGUUGAUAUACCUUAUUAAAACGAUUCCUUUAUUUUCAGCUCCUCCUAUAUCCUUUAGCGGUACACCACAUGAUAUGCCAUUUAUACCUUCAUUCGAUCCUUUAUCUGAUGAAAGAUCUUUGGCUUUUCGAUGCGAAGCCUCAAUACCAUCAGACUAUCAUAGAUACGUUUUUGACAUAACCUGGUUUAUUAAUCAGAAUAAAAUCGUCGAUAAGUACAAUAUCACAUAUAGUAAGCUAGUGACCGACGGAGUUCUUCACCAAAAAGACUGGGAUUCACAUCCAAACGGAACUAAAGUUCUCGGAUUUUGGUUAAGUGAAGUUUUUUUUAUAUACAGCAUGAAUGCUUAAACGUUUCGGUUAGUUGAGAAAAUGAUAAACAAACAAAUUGGUUUAAAUUUUUUAUGAUUUAACUUGUAACCAUUUUACAGAGAUUUACAUCUAUAUUUCAAAGAACUUCCCGAUUUUACGGAGCCGACUGAUCAAGUACCCUGCGUUGUUUACCUUAGGCGAAAAACAGAUAUUUAAAAUAAUAAUCUGUGUUAAAGAGGGGUGUGGAGAAAGAUACACGAAGGGGA